AGCGAACGCUGGCGGCAUGCUUAACACAUGCAAGUCGCACGGUCAGCAAUGGCAGUGGCGGACGAGUGAGUAACGCGUAGGUAUCUAUCCUCGGGUGGGGGACAACCACGGGGAAACUGCGGCUAAUACCGCAUGAUGCCUGAGGGCCAAAGACGAAAGUCGUUUGAGGAGGAGCCUGCGUCUGAUUAGGUAGUUGGUGGGGUAAAGGCCUACCAAGCCCUGCGAUCAGUAGCUGGUCUGAGAGGAUGAUCAGCCACAUUGGGACUGAGACACGGCCCAAACUCCUACGGGAGGCAGCAGUGGGGAAUAUUGGACAAUGGGCGCAAGCCUGAUCCAGCAAUGCCGCGUGGGUGAAGAAGGUCUUCGGAUUGUAAAGCCCUUUUGGCGGGGACGAUGAUGACGGUACCCGCAGAAUAAGCUCCGGCUAACUUCGUG
rnacentral:rRNA from 1 species